GUGUUUGCUUCAGCGGCACAUAUACUAAAAAAUCAGAACACACAGAUUAGUAUAUCCUCUGAGCAAGGAUAAGAUUAAAAUCCACCAAGUGUUCCAUAUUUUU
rnacentral:snRNA from 1 species